CUUAUCCUUAUCUUGGGGUUGUACUACUGUUCAAUGAAUAUCUAGUGAGAACAGUACUGCUAACACCUACAUAACACAUCUUCAAGACUAAAAUAAUGCAACUGUCCUUAAUCCUUGAUUCACAAAGCACUGAUAAUUGAAAAA
ensembl:snRNA U4atac minor spliceosomal RNA